rnacentral:rRNA from 1 species
AUGAUGGGAGUUGCCGGAGUAUUAGGUGCGGCUUUGCUAUGCGCUAUUAAUGGAGCGACCGUAGAAAACACUCUAUUUGAGGACGGUGGUGGUGCAAAUAACUUCCGUGCUUUUAACCCAACUCAAGCUGAAGAAACUUAUUCAAUGGUCACUGCUAACCGCUUUUGGUCCCAAAUCUUUGAUGCUCCUUUUUCCAAUAAACGCUGGUUACAUUUCUUUAUGCUAUUUGUACCCGUCACCGGUUAA